GAAAAAUUAAAAGUUGGGAGAAGUUGGUUAGUAUACAUUCGAUGAAAAAAUAUAUUGGGACAUCAGAAGAGAUUGAAGAGACAGAAAAAAACUCCAUCGUUGGUGGUUGAACUAUAGUAUCACACAUAUCCGACAAAUAUGCACCAUCCAAGGUUAGGAAUGGUCUGAAAGAGAGAUGCACUGAUAGCACAAAAAAAAGCCCCUUUUUGCUAAAUCUAUAUUGAAGGUAUAAGAUGUUUGCCCUUGAGAUAGAAAUCUAUAUUGAAGGUAAUAGAUGUUUGCGCUGAGAUAGAAUUCACAAAUAGAAGUCUCAAGCAAACCUAAUUAUGCAAAGAGUUUGACUAAUUAAAGUUAGUUUUUUAAUUAAAUAUAGAGUAAUGAUCCUAUGAGACGUUUUCACAUUCAUAUGUAUAGGAUCCCUAAGGAUUACCAUUAAAUUUGGUAUAAAUAAUGUGAGAUUUAACUUUUAUAAAGAUUUGUAUCAAAUUUAAUGGUGAUCCUUUAGAGUCUUAUAUACAUGGGUGUGAGAGGGUAUCACAAGAUCAAUUUCCCUUAAAUAUAAACUUAUUGAAUAUGUAGUAUUUGUUGAAUCCACAAUUCCUAAUGUAAUAUAAGGACGCCUCGUAUAAGGUUAUAUUAGUUUCUUUCCUAUUAAUAAAAACAUUGCACUUCACGUCA